AGAACGAACGCUGGCGGCAUGCCUAAUACAUGCAAGUCGAACGAAGGCUUCGGCCUUAGUGGCGCACGGGUGCGUAACGCGUGGGAAUCUGCCCCUUGGUUCGGAAUAACAGUUGGAAACGACUGCUAAUACCGGAUGAUGACGAAAGUCCAAAGAUUUAUCGCCAAGGGAUGAGCCCGCGUAGGAUUAGCUAGUUGGUGAGGUAAAGGCUCACCAAGGCGACGAUCCUUAGCUGGUCUGAGAGGAUGAUCAGCCACACUGGGACUGAGACACGGCCCAGACUCCUACGGGAGGCAGCAGUGGGGAAUUUUGGACAAUGGGGAAACCCUGAUCCAGCCAUCCGCGUGUGCGAUGAA
rnacentral:rRNA from 1 species